rnacentral:rRNA from 1 species
CCUGGUUGAUCCUGCCAGUAGCAUAUGCUUGUCUCAAAGAUUAAGCCAUGCACGUGCAAGUACACACGGCGAAUGGCUCAUUAAAUCAGUUAUGGUUCCUUUGAUCACUCCAUCUGUUACUUUGAUAACUGUGGUAAUUCUAAAGCUUAAUACAUGCCGACGAUAUCGCAAACCUUCCAGGAUGCGUGCAUUUAUCAGACCAAGACUAAUCUGGGCUCGCCGGCCCCUUUGGUGACGCUAGAUAACCUUGGGCCGAUUGCACGUUCCCAUGACGGCAAGGAUGCAUUUGGAUGUGUGCCCUAUCAACUCUCGAUAGUACUUUCUGUGCCUACCAUGUUGACCAUGGGUAAUGGGGAAUCAGUGUUGGAUUCCCGAAAGGGAGCCUGAGAAACGGCUACCACGCUCAAGGAAGGCAGCAUGCGCGCAAAUUACCCACUGACGAAAAAUAACAAUAUAGGACUGUUUCGAGGCAAGUCUGAUGCCAGCACCCACAGUAAUUCCAGCUCCAAUAGCGUAUAUUAAAGUUGCUGCUGUUAAAAAGCUCGUAGUUGGAUCUUGGGAUUGAGCUAGCGGUUCGCCGUGAGGUGAGCUACCGCCUGUCCCAGCCCCUGCACCUUGGCACCCCCUUGAAGCUCUUGCCUGAGUGUCCUGGAGGUCUGAAGCGAUUACUUUGAAAAAUUGUGAGUGUUCACCUGAAUAGUUCAGCUAGGAAUAAUGGAAUAGGACUCCGGUUCUAUUUUGUUGGUUUUCAGAACUGGGGCACUCGUAUUGGGGCAUGUAUUGUGCCGUUACAGGUGAAAUUCUUGGACCGGCGCAAGACGAGCCAAAGCGAAAGCAUUAGCCAAGAAUGUUUUCAUUAAUCAAGAACAAAAGGCUGACGUUGUAGCUCCGACCAUAAACUAUGCAGACUAGCGAUCUGGCAUCUGGCUGCGUUUUCCCAUGACCCGCUGAGCAACUUCUGCGAAUCCAAAGUCUUUGGGUUCCGGGAGAGUAUGGUUGCAAAGCUGAAACGUAAAGGAAUUGACGGAAGGGCACCACCGUGAAACCUCACCCAGCCUGGACACGGAAAGGAUUGACAGAUUGAUAGUUCUUUCUCGAUUCUGUGAGUGGUGGUGCAUGGCCAUUCUUAGUUGGUGGAGCGAUUUGUCUGGUUAAUUCCAAUAACGAACGAGACUCCUCCAUGCUAACUAGUUAUGCGACCCCCAGCGGUCAGCGUUCAACUUCUUAGAGGGACUAAUUGGGUUUAGUCACACGAGAUUGAUCAAUAACAGUUCUGUGAUGCCCUUAGAUGUCCGGGGCUGCACGCGCGCGCUACACUGAACCAAUCAUCGUUUGUCUACCCUUCGCAGACAGGUGCAGCUAACCCGCUGAACCCUGUUUGUGAUAGGGAUUGGGGAUUGCAAUUAUUUCCCACAAACAAGGAAUUUUGAGUAAGUGCAGGUCAUAAGCUUGCGUUGAUUAAGUCCCUGCCCUUAGUACACACUGCCCGUCACUAACGAUUGGAUGGUUUAGUGAGGUACUUGGAUCGGCAACGGCCCUGGCGGAGUGGCGAGAAGACUUAUUAAACUUGACUAUCUAGAGAAAGUGAAAGUCGUACUGGUUGGGUUAGCCUGCCAGGGACG